rnacentral:lncRNA from 1 species
GGAUGGAAGAUCCACAGCUUCUGUGCCUUUCUUGAGAAGUUGGACACCUUCACCCCUAAACAUGAGCCACUAGUUUUUGUUUGCAAAGAAAUGUUGAAAAAAACAAGGGUUGCGUUCUGCCUCUUCAGUUUCCACAACACUGGACACAAACUUCUUGAAAGAAUGAGUGUGACAACUACCAACAAUACUGAGGGUCUUGCUCUGUCACCCAGGUUGGAGUGCGGUGGAGUGAUCACCACUCUCUGCAGCCUCAACCUCAUGGACUCAAGCCAUCCUCCUGCCUCAGCCUCCUGAGUAGCUGGGACUACAGGCAUGUACCACUAUACCUGGGUAAUUUAUAAAAAUUAUUUAUAGAGACAGAGUCUUGCCAUGUUGCCAAAAGCCAUCCCCACAAAUUCCUCCUUGCUAGCAGAACCUCUAUUAGAUGUUACUUGAAGAGCCUAUAAUCUCAAAGAAUGUGAUCCUAGUUUCUGUCCUAAGAGCAGGCACAUGGCCUAGUUCUGUUCAAUAAAGUGAAGGAAAAAUCCACUGGGGGUCUCCUGAGAAAUAUUUUCUCCUUUGAUAAAAGAAGGGGCUACUAAGGGAGGCUCCCUGCCUGUACUCAUAGCCACUUCUGUCUUUGAACAUAGUUAGAGAAGGACAUGAUGCACGGAAAUCCCGCAACAAUCUUGCAUCUCUGUAAAGUCGAAGAGACUCCAAACCUGACAACAUAGAGACACUGGGUCAACACAUCUACAAUUGCCUUCUUGCAAACUGGGGGUGGGGAAUAAAGCUCAUUUAUUUAAGCCACUAUUAGGUGACUUGCCACUGAAAACAUUCCUGAUAUAACAAGGCAUCUGUAACAUACAGCAUAUUAUCAAUAAUUAUACAUGGGCUGAUUUUCUAUGGCAUCUAUUUGCUCAUUCAUUCAUUUAGUCAGUCACCAAAUGUUUCUUAAGCAACGACUAUGUGGCAGGCACUAUACUAGGCACCAGAAACAUAAUGCAAAGGAAGAUAGCCACAUCCUCCUGCAGUCUGAGUGAAUAGGUCUCAGUUAUUCAGUUCAUGGCUAACUUGUAACCCUUCUUCUCCUUCUCUCCCCAGCUUUUAAGGUAGGUGGUCUACAUGCAUUUGCGGCC